rnacentral:rRNA from 1 species
GCGCACCAGUCGCGAAACCUUCGCAAUGCACGAAAGUGCGACGAGGCUACUCCGAGUGCCAUCCGCUGAGGAUGGCUUUUGCCAGGUCUAAACCGCCUGGAGAAUAAGGGGAGGGCAAGUCUGGUGUCAGCCGCCGCGGUAAUACCAGCUCCUCGAGUGGUCGGGACGAUUAUUGGGCCUAAAGCAUCCGUAGCCGGUUCUGUAGGUCUCCUGUCAAAUUCAACGGCUCAACCGUUGAGCUGCAGGAGAUACCGCAGGGCUAGGAGGCGGGAGAGGUGGACGGUACUCUAUGGGUAGGGGUAAAAUCCUGUAAUCCUGGGAGGACCACCAGUGGCGAAGGCGUCACGCUAGAACGGAUCCGACGGUCAGGGACGAAGCCCAGGGGCGCAAACGGGAUUAGAUACCCCCGUAGUCC